GCAGUUUGUACGAUCACCGAGUCGCGGAGAAAUUGUUGGGAUGGUAUAUCUUCGACAGCUCAGAAAAAUCAGUCAUCUCCAACGACACAGCCAAGAAGAGGAAGACGACGUUCUAGCGACGUACCACCAUCGCCGAGUGUUUUAAAACGACG
rnacentral:misc_RNA from 1 species